ensembl:snRNA U6 U6 spliceosomal RNA
GUGCUUACUUUAGCAGUGCAUAUUCUGAAAUUGGAACAAUACAGAAAAGAUUAGUGUGGCCCCUGUGUAAGGACGGCAAAAGAUUCAUGAAGUGUUCAAAAGUUUU